rnacentral:rRNA from 1 species
AAAUUGAAGAGUUUGAUCAUGGCUCAGAUUGAACGCUGGCGGCAGGCCUAACACAUGCAAGUCGAGCGGUAGCACAGAGAGCUUGCUCUCGGGUGACGAGCGGCGGACGGGUGAGUAAUGUCUGGGAAACUGCCUGAUGGAGGGGGAUAACUACUGGAAACGGUAGCUAAUACCGCAUAAUGUCGCAAGACCAAAGUGGG